rnacentral:rRNA from 1 species
GACGAACGCUGGCGGCGUGCUUAACACAUGCAAGUCGAACGGUGAACCGGGCUUCGGCCCGGGGAUCAGUGGCGAACGGGUGCGUAACACGUGGGCAACCUGCCCCAGACACUGGGAUAACCCCGGGAAACCGGGGCUAAUACCGGAUACUCCGCUCGGACCGCAUGGUCUGAUCGGGAAAGCUCCGACGGUCUGGGAUGGGCCCGCGGCCUAUCAGCUCGUUGGUGGGGUAACGGCCUACCAAGGCGACGACGGGUAGCUGGUCUGAGAGGACGACCAGCCACACUGGAACUGAGAUACGGUCCAGACUCCUACGGGAGGCAGCAGUGGGGAAUCUUGCACAAUGGGCGAAAGCCUGAUGCAGCGACGCCGCGUGGGGGACGAAGGCCUUAGGGUUGUAAAGCUCUUUCAGCUGGGAAGAUAAUGACGGUACCAGCAGAAGAAGCCCCGGCUAACUCCGUGCCAGCCGC